rnacentral:rRNA from 1 species
GGGAAUAUUGGGCAAUGGGCGCAAGCCUGACCCAGCAACGCCGCGUGAAGGAAGAAGGCUUUCGGGUUGUAAACUUCUUUUGACAGGGAAGAGCAGAAGACGGUACCUGUCGAAUAAGCCACGGCUAACUACGUGCCAGCAGCCGCGGUAAUACGUAGGUGGCAAGCGUUGUCCGGAUUUACUGGGUGUAAAGGGCGUGUAGCCGGGCUGACAAGUCAGAUGUGAAAUCCGGGGGCUCAACCCCCGAACUGCAUUUGAAACUGUUGGUCUUGAGUAUCGGAGAGGCAGGCGGAAUUCCUAGUGUAGCGGUGAAAUGCGUAGAUAUUAGGAGGAACACCAGUGGCGAAGGCGGCCUGCUGGACGACAACUGACGGUGAGGCGCGAAAGCGUGGGGAGCAAACAGG